CGGCGGCGCGGGCGCGCGGGGAAAGGCUUUGCGGCGGCGUCGCGGCCGGCUAACGUGGAGUCGCGGUUGAAGGCGUCGCCCGCCCGGCUCCGGCUCCGGCCGCGGCUCCUGCUCCCGCUUCCGCCUCGGGUGCGCGCGCAGACGUCGUCGGCCGCCGAGGAGGGGAGGCGGGAGUGCGGGCGGAGACCAGCGAGUCGGCGGCGCCGCAGCUGGCAGAGUGGCGGAGAAUCUGAGUCUGAGCCUCUGCCUGAACCUGGAUUCACAGAUGGAUUCAGUGGAAAAGACAACAAAAAGAAGUGAACAGAAGUCCAGAAAGUUUUUAAAAAGCCUCAUCCGGAAACAGCCACAGGAGCUGCUGCUGGUCAUUGGGACGGGUGUCAGCGCAGCUGUGGCCCCUGGCAUCCCGGCCCUCUGCUCGUGGAGGAGCUGCAUCGAGGCCGUGAUCGAGGCUGCAGAGCAGCUGGAGGUGCUGCACCCGGGGGACAUCGCCGAGUUCCGCAGGAAAGUGAUGAAGGACCGCGACUUGCUGGUGGUGGCCCAUGAGCUGAUCCGGAAGAUGUCCCCCCGCACGGGGGACACGAAGCCCAGCUUCUUCCAGGACUGCCUCAUGGAGAUCUUCGACAACCUGGAGCAGCACAUCCAGAACCCCGCGGUGCUGCAGUGCAUCCUCAGCCUGAUGGAGAGGGGCACGAUGGUGCUGACCACCAACUACGACACCCUGCUCGAGAUCUUUGGCCGGCAGCAGAGCAAGCCCAUGGAGUCUUUGGACUUGAAGGAUAAGACGAAGGUCCUUCAGUGGGCAAGAGGACACAUAAAAUAUGGAGUUCUUCACAUCCAUGGCUUAUACACAGACCCUUGCGGGAUGGUGUUAGAUCCAUCGGGAUAUAAAGAUGUUACUCAGGACCCGGAAGUAAUGGAAGUUCUCCAGAAUUUAUACCGCACCAAAUCGUUUCUGUUUGUGGGAUGUGGAGAGACCCUUCGUGAUCAGAUAUUCCAAGCUCUCUUCCUUUAUUCUGUGCCGAAUAAGGUGGAUUUAGAACACUACAUGGUUGUGCUCAAGGAGAAUGAAGACCAUUUCUUUAAGCAUCAAGCAGACAUGCUUUUGCAUGGAAUUAAAGUCAUAUCUUAUGGGGGCUGUUUUGACUAUUUUCCAGAAUAUGUGCAAGACCUCACCACUCAGAUCUGCAAACAGAGAAGCCCAGAUGCUGAUCGAGUGGACAGCACUACAUUAUUGGGUAACGCAUGUCAGGACUGUGCAAAGAGGAAGUUAGAAGAGAAUGGAAUUGAAAUUUCAAAAAAACUCAGACAAUCAGAUACCGAUCAUGCUGGAGGGUCUUGAAAUCUUUAAAACCAAUAAAACCUGCAACUUGAAAACCAGCCUUCUGUAACCACAGUGCCAUACACAAAUGAGGAAUGUACUGGGAACCCCCCAUGGGAUCUCUCAAUUCUGAACCGCCCUGUACCCCAAAAGAGCCCUGUGGGUGUGUGGCCUUCUGAGGCUGGGUGGAAGAGAAGAGCUCCACUGGAUGUGGUGAAACACACACACUUCAGGUAGACUCUGUGAGGACCGAUGGCUGGUGACUGCCUCUGGGACCGGAGUCGGUGGACAGGGAGACACCUGUCGUCCUGAGUUCCACUUGACAAGCCCCCUUUGGUCAAGGUGUUUUCUGAUAAAAGAGGGAGAGUGAAGAUUCUCCAAGCAACAGAAGUUGCCAAAGAGAAAAUGCAAUUGGGUGUGGCUAUCUGAGUCUCAAAGGAUAAAUUACAGGUUGGCCAAACACAGGGUAGAGCAAAACUACAGGCAUGGAAGAUGACGGGGACCAGGAUCCACGAAUGAGCCAGUUCCCGGAAAGCCCGAAGGGCCGCGCCUGUGAGGAUAAACGUGUCCACGUCAGUUCUGCCGUGAUGCGGGUUUUAACAUGCCAGUAUAUUCCCUGCAAUGGAUCUGUGAGGGAACAAUGGAGCAUGUUCCCGAGAAACACCAGGACUGGGGACGACAGAGCAUGACUCGCUGUUCACAGCCUCACGCCAGGUGCUUUACACUUAAGCAGUUACAGGAGGACCUGCACAGCAGCCCCCGCUGCCUCUCGGAGCAUCAAGUAUUUACUGUCUGGCCCUUCUAGAAAACAUUUGCUGACCCCUGCGCUAGGUGAAUGCAGAAAACCGACCCAGCUGAGCUCAGUAGGAGACAACAAAUGCCGCAUGCGGCACCCCCACCCCCCCACAGCGUCAGAGCUGAGGCCACCCUCCUGCCACUCUCCACUGUAACAGGCCGCAGCUGUGGUGCCCAUGGCCACAGGCAAACUGAAGGUCUUUUUAAAGACAACGUGCUGCAUUGUAGUAUUUGUAAAUUUCUCAGUCAUCCAAUGUGGGUAAAACUGGGUAUUAUUUUUGAUUAGGUUCUUAAUCUUUUUUUAACGUGUCAGAAAUUUUGAGGUGGUGCCCCAACCCGAUAGUUCCCAUAGCCUUGUGGUGUCUAGUGUGUAAUUUUGCACAGCAGGGUGGUGGUCAGGAAUGGAGAUGUUGUGUGACAACAGAACCAACUGCACUUUGAAGGAUCUUGGCGAUCUGAGAGUUAGACUGGCCCAGGCAGGAAGUAAGGGUCUAAAGUGAGCGUGGGGCAGCAUUUAAAGGGGCAUUUCAGGGUUAAAGUUGAUGUCUUUUAAGGGAAUAGAUGACAUAGGUGGUAGUGCCAGUACUUAAAAAAAAAAAGGACACAGGAGAGGGACACACAAUGACUGCUGUGAUCUUGUGGUGCGUAGACUUAGCUCUCACUGUGCUGUGAGCUCCUUGAGGGCAGGAGCCGUGGUGUUUGUGCUUCAUCUGCAUCUUGGGCCCAGAUGCCUUCUGUGUUACCCGCAGUGGUGAAUGCUGUAUGAGCGCCUCCUCUUCAGGAGACUACUCCUUGGUUAGCACUUGGGCCCAAAGCAAUCUUAAAUAGACCUCCAGGAUCUGAAUAGAAUUUUUUGUUCCAUUUUGAAAUGGAAAUGAAGUCCUACUGAAAUCUCUGCAACUUUUCUACCUUUAACACUGUCUAAGUGGAGAAGUCAGCUGUCACUUAAGGAAGUCUAUUUUUCAGUAUUUUUUUUUUUU